GAAGGGGUGUAGCAUCAUAUAGUGGCUCUUCUAAUUUCUCAGGUAUGCAGUGUAAAGAUCUAGAGAAUUUGGCAGAUACAAAAUAAUGCAUAGAGCCAGAAUCAAAUAGUAUAGAUGCAUUAACUAGAUUGAUGGGAAUAGUAUCUGUCACCAUACUAUCGCUAGCACUGACAUCCUGUCGAGUCAAUGCGAAGACCCGAGCAGUCCCCUUUUGCCUCUAAUCUCCUGAUCCAGUAGGUCCAGGGUCAUUUCUCUUCUUCUGACAGUCAUGUGCUAUGUGUCCAAGCUAUCCACAAAUGAAACAGGCUCCCAUCUUUUUAAGGCAAGGCCCACCAUGUGACUUGCUGCAGUAGUUGCAAACUCCAAAUUUCUUCUUUUUGGUUGCAUUACCCCCAAAAUUUCUUGGCCUAACAUUCUGACUCUCAGUCACCCUGGGUCUUCAAAUCACCUCUUUCUUUUUCUGCUAUAAUCAGUUCAGCUUCCACCUUCAGAACCCUUUCCAAUACAUCCCUAUAAUCUGUGAAAAUCUGCGCAAACAACUGGGAUCGAAUCCCGUAUCUCAAACCUUACUCGGAACGGUUGGCCUUGCUCCUCUCGAACUUCAUCUAAGGACAUAACCGGCCCAACUCAUUAAAUUUGUUGGCAUAUUCUAGCACAGUCAUGUUAUCUGCCUGCCUCAAAGAUAAGAAUUCAUUUUCUUUAGACAUUCUGACUGACUCCGGAAAAUACUGAUCAUAAAAUAUUCCCUUGAAUUCCUCCCAUGUCAGUGGCUCAUCAUCACUCUCGAAUGCAGCUUUCAUGGUCGUCCACCAAAACUCUACAUUCCCUUUUAGCAUAGGAAUAACCAAUCUGACCUUCACUUCAUCGGGGUACUGUACAGCAUCGAACAUCUUCUCUAUCUUCCGAAUCUAGGUUUCAGCAGCCAGAGGGUCAACUCCACCAUCAAACAUAGGUGGGUUGAGCCUAUGGAAUCGCUUAUAGUAGGACUUCAUAGACGGUGUAGGUCGGGAGGUAGCCUGCAUCUGCUGCUACUGCUAAAGGAGCUGGGCCACCACCCGGCAUACACCAGCAAUAUCUACCUGGGUGGCUGCUGUGCUCGGAGCUUGCUCAGCUGGCCUGCUGGUUGCUCCUCGGAUAUUGCUCUAAAAUUUUGCCAACCCCUUAUUCUUGCUAUCGUUCAUUGUGACCUAACACAAUAUUAGUAUAAAUCAAUCAUUUUUUUUAUGAUUAAUAAAAUUACUUCUUUCUUUUCAAUUAAACAGAAUCUAAUUGAAUGAGACUUAACUACCCAGUCCCUUUUUAAACUUAAGGUUUUUAUUCAUGAUUAAACCUAUUGCUUUGAUAUCACUAAAUGUCACGGCCCAAGUUCGGUCCGUGACACGGCCGUGUUAUUGCAAACUUAUGCGUACAACAACACGAAGCCACUUCAAAAUUUCAUAUCAAAAGUGAACAAUUUUAUUCAUGAAUGUCAUAAAAUGUUUCAUCAAUAAGGAUUGAUAUAGAGCUUUUAAAAAUUUUACAUUUCAUAUUCAAUUAUCCCCAUAACCCUAAAGUAUGUCAAGCUUCUUGCUCCUAGCAAUCCUAUUUAUCUGUAAGAACAUAAAUGAAGUGGUGUGAGCUAUAUAGCUCACUAAGUAACCAUGCACAAUCUUACCGGAUCAAGCAUAUGCGCUUCAUGCCAAUGCAUUAAUUUAAAAAAUUAGCAGUUAUAACAAAAUAGCCAUUUCAUAUAGCAUAUAUUCAAAUCGAUCAUAAAGCAAUGAAUGCCCAAUCAUACAAGUUCAUAAAGAUGAAUAUGUAUCAUAAAACAUUGCCAUUAUUCCAUGCUUUGAAAUCCAUACUCUAAGAUGGAAGUGCAGCUAUGGCCACUCUUAUUUCGACGGCAAGGCUUUUACCAACUACUAUUAUCCGUUGGCGGUGUCGUAUGCCGAGUUACUGUUAUCCACUGGCGGAGGUCGUAUGCCAAGUUACUNNNNNNNNNNNNNNNNNNNNNNNNNNNNNNNNNNNNNNNNNNNNNNNNNNNNNNNNNNNNNNNNNNNNNNNNNNNNNNNNNNNNNNNNNNNNNNNNNNNNNNNNNNNNNNNNNNNNNNNNNNNNNNNNNNNNNNNNNNNNNNNNNNNNNNNNNNNNNNNNNNNNNNNNNNNNNNNNNNNNNNNNNNNNNNNNNNNNNNNNNNNNNNNNNNNNNNNNUUUUUCAUGCAAUUUUCUAUAUCAUCAUAAAUCAUGUGUACACUAUAAAGUAAUCAUGAUGGAUGCCAUUCAGCCAAAAUCAUGCAACACUUGCUACAUAUGCUUGAUCCUAAUUUUUGAGAAGCAUAAUUAGGAAUAUACAAUUUCAUAUUCAAAUAGUUUCAUAUAUUUGAAAACAAUAAGAUUAUGUCAGGGUCACUUAACUCAAUUCGGUUACAAAAUCCUAGAUUUAGAUGACAAUUCUCCAACACCUAGCAAUAUCAUAAACAAUCAAAUUAUUAAUAUUUGCUCCUUCCAUUUCUUAUUUAUUUAUUUAACCUUUAUUCUACCUCUUCCACUACUUUUCUACUUUUAAUUAUUAUAUUUUAUUUCUAUAUAUUCACACUCUACUCUUAAUUAAAAUCCUUUACAGCCCACCUAAAGGACUCAAUUUCUGGUUCAAGCCCAUGGCCUGAUUCAGUCACUGGGCUCAUUUUAUUCAGGCCCAUGGCCUGAUUCAGUUGCUGGGCUCAUUUUUUUAUUCAUGCCCAUGGCCUAAUUCAGUUAUUGGGCUCAUUUUUAUUCAGGCCCAUGGCCUGAUUUAAUUUUGGUUUAGGCCCAAUAACUUAAACAAUUGAUUUAUAACCAGGCCCAUGGUUCCAUGGUCUAGUGAUUAAGACCUUAGACUCUAAAUCCAGUAACCCAAGUUCAAUUUCGGUGGACCCUUAUUAUCAUAGCCCACAAAGCCCACAAUAUUCACAAGCCCAUAAGACUUCCUUCAAAACUGAUUGCCUGGCCCAUCAAACUUCCUCUUCUUCAUCCAAACCCGACCGCUUGGCCCUUUUGUUCCUCCUUCCCUUCAUCCCUAAUCUCCCCAAACCCCACCCGAGGUGGUGAAUGCCCACCUGGCCAUGGAGGCACGACUAGCCCACCACCAGCAUGAUCAUCCUCCUCUUUGACCAUGAGAGCUGGCUGGUGGGCUCUUCCCAUGAAUUGGAAGAUAGGAUCUAGGGUUAGGGUUUGAAGAGGAGAUCGAGAGGAAGGGAUGACCGAGAGAAGGAAGAUCUCUGGUCAUCCGAUCUAGAGGCCACCGUCACCAGCCUCUCUUCUCUCCGACAACCCCAGGAGAAAGCAAACUGGUUCCAUCCCAUGUGAACUGGAUUUGCUUGGGCCGAUGACUCCUCCCAUGGAUCGGGAGGUAGGGCCUAUGAUUUAAGGUUUGCUUGAAAGGGAAAAACAUGAUCGGGUGGAAGGAGAUCCACGGCAUGGACCGGCUAUGAUCAUUGCUCGAUCGAGUUGGUGUCGUGAUCAGAGCCCACCACAGGUUAGAUCCUCCCCCUUCCCUCCUCUUCAUCUUCUUCCUCCUCUUCUCUUUUGUUUUAUUUCCUUCUUUCUUUGUUUUUUUUAAUCUCAUAGCUAAACUAGAUCUAAGCUAAAUAGAGUGUAAAUCAUGAAGAGAGCAAGGGAUCAAGGGUUUACCUAGCUCCAAGGAGGAGCCAAGAAGCCUCUUCCAGCAGCUUGGUCACUUCCUCUGGCGGCUCGGGGCCUCCUACUCUGACAGCUCGGCGGCGGAUCCGAGUGGUCUGCUGCCGCUGAGAGAAAAGAAGAGAGGAAGGCGGUGAGGGUGGAAGUGCCUCUGAGGGAUCUUCUAAGGCUUUUAUAGCCUUCUUUGGGGGAAAUGGAAGUGGAGGAAUUGGGCGUAACUGCGGUUGUUAGGUGGUUAUAACCGCCUAAACAGCUGGCGGUCGCCGCUCCUUCUCGAAGAUACACGUUUUGGGUCUCUAGAUGGUCCACCGACUAUGGUCUAGGUCGGCCCAUCUGGGCCUAAUAGUUACAUUCUUUCCUCCUUAAAAAAGAAUUUCGUCCUCAAAAUUUACAUACUUGAGUUUGCAAAAAGCUGUGGAUACCUCGUACGCAUUUCAUCUCCAAGUUUCCAAAUUGCCUCCCUUUCAGAAUGGUUAUUUCACUGAAUUUUCACAUAGAAAAUGGUACGCCGUCUCAAGACCUGCUCCUUGCAAUCUAUGAUGCGUAGAGGAAACUCUUCACAAGUCAGAUCCUUUUCAACCUGUAAUGGCUCAUACUCUACUACAUGACUAGACUUUGUAAUGUACUUCCGUAGUAGAGAAAUAUGGAAGACAUUGUGUACACUAGAUAGCUCUGGUGGCAAAGCUAAUCUAUAUGCAAUCUCUCCUACUUUGUUCCGAAUCUCAAAGGGGCCAAUGUAGCGAGGACUCAGCUUACUGUGUCUUCCAAAUCUCAUAACACCUUUCGAGGGUGAAACCUUCAAGAAAACAAAGUCAUCCUCUUGGAAUUCCAAUUCUCUUCUUUUGUCUGCCCAACUAUUCUGUCUGUCCUGAGCUGCCUUGAGCCUUUUCCUGAUCAAUAAAAUCUUCUCUCUGGUAACUUGCACUAACUUAGGACACAACAAUUUUUCUCUCCAACAUCAUCCCAAUGUACAGGAGAUCUGCACUUUCUUCCUCACAGAGCUUCAUAAGGUGCCAUCUAGAUGCUAGAAUAAUAGCUGUUAUUAUAAGCAAAUUCUACCAGGGCUAUAUGAACAUCCUAGCAACCUCCUAGAUCAACUGUACAUGAUCUCAGCAUAUCCUCCAUGUCUGAAUUGUCCGCUUUGACUGGCCAUUAGUUUGAGGAUGAUAAGCAGUACUGAGCCUCAAUUCAGUUCCCAUAGCAUUCUGAAAACUCCUCCAAAAUCUAGAUACAAAUCGUGGGUCCUAAUCAGAUAUAAUGCUAACCGGUAUGCCAUGUAGGCUCAUGACUUCAUCAAUAUAUCUUAGUGCUAGCUUUUCAACAGGAGUGCCAACCCUAAAGGGUAAGAAGUGAGUUGACUUUGUGAGACAAUCAACGAUCACCCACACUGCAUCAUUCUUCUUAGCUGUCCUGGGAAGUCCAAUAACAAAAUCCAUAGUGAUAUGUUCCCACUUCCAUUCUGGUAUCUCCAGUGGCUCCAACAAACCUGCAGGCCUCUGAUGUUUGGCUUUCACCUGCCGGCAUACUAGGCACCGAGCCACAAAAUUGGCUAUUUCUCCUUUCAUACCAUUCCACCAAAAAUGCUUCCUUAGAUCUCUAUACAUUUUUGUGCUACCGGGAUGAAUAGAGAUGCGGGACUAGUGAGCUUCCUCCAUAAUUUUUCUUUUCAAUUCAGCAUCAUUUGGUACACAAUCUGCUACCAAAUCGAAGAGUACCAUCCUGAUGAAUUCUGAGCUUGGGUCGUAACCCUUUUUCCACAUCCUCUUUUAAGCUGACUUAAGUAGGCAUCAGUCUGUUGGACAAUCUUGAUUCUCUCAAGCAAUGUCGGUAGCACCAUCAGACUAGCCAGCAUACCACCAGCACUCAUAGCAGUCACCUUGACUGCAUCAUAUUAAGAUCUUUUACAAUUUGCUUUUGAGUGGUGAGUAAAGCAGUGGUGCCUACCAUCCUGGUGAAUUCUAAGCUCGGGUCGUAAUCCUCUUUCCACAUCCUUUUUAAGUUGACCUAAGUAGGCAUCAGUCUAUUGGGCAGUCUUGAUUCUCUCAAGCAAUGUCGAUACCACCAUCAGACUAGCCAGCAUACCACCAGCACUCAUAGCAGUCACCUUGAUCUGCAUCAUAUUGAGAUCUUUUACAAUUUGCUUUUGAGUGGUGAGUAAAGCAGUGGUGCCUACCGUUGACUUUCUACUAAGAGCAUCAACCACCACAUUAGCCUUUCCUGGAUGAUAUUUUAUACUUAGGUCAUAAUCUUUCAGCAGUUCAAGCCAUCUCCUCUGCCUCAUAUUAAGCUCCUUUUGUGCAAAUAUGUAUUUUAAGCUUUUAUGAUUAGUGAAGACUUCACAUGCCUCUCCAUAUAGAUAGUGCCACCAAAUCUUUAGAGCAAAUAUUACUGUUGUUAAUUCCAAAUCAUGUGUUGGAUAGUUCUGCUCAUAGGGCUUCAACUGUCUAGAGGCAUAUGUCACCACCUUGUCAUUUUGCAUCAAUACACAGCCCAACCCUUUCUUGGAGGCAUCACUAUAAAUAGUGAAAUUUUCAAAACUAGAUGGUAGGGUGGAAAUAGGAGCUGAUACUAGUCUCCGCUUCAACUUUGGAAACUCUGCUCACAUUCCUCACUCUAUUCAUACUUUGCUCGUUUCUGAGUCAAAAGAGUGGCUAUCCAAAAAAAUCCUUCCAAAAAUCUCCGGUAGUAUCCAGCCAAACCCAAGAAGCUCCUGAUCUCAGUCACAUUGGCAGGACGAGGCCAGUUCACCACUGCUUCAAUCUUCUUUGGGUCCACUAAGAUUCCAUCCUUGGAGAUCACAUGCCCAAGGAAAGCAAUGCUAUCCAGCCAGAAUUCACAUUUGUUCAGCUUGGCAUAUAACUUCUCCCGUAGAUUCUGCAGCACUAACCUCAAAUGAUUUUCAUACUCUUCCUUGCUCUUGGAAUAGACCAGUAUAUCAUCAAUGAAUACAAUGACAAACUGAUCCAGAAACUGCUUGAAGACUAUUCAUCAGGUCUAUAAAGGCAGCUAGAGUAUUGGUUAGUCCAAAAGAUAUAACCAAAAAUUCAUAAUGACCAUAUCUGGUCCGAAAUACUGUCUUGGGCACACCCUCGGCUUGGAUUUUUAGUUGGUGAUAUCCAGACCGUAAAUCUAUCAUUGAGAAGACUUGUGCACCUUGCAACUGGUCAAACAGAUCAUCAAUUCGAGGCAAGGGAUACUUAUUCUUCACAGUUACUUUGUUCAGCUCUUUAUAGUCAAUAUACAACCUCAUGCUCCCAUCCUUUACGAACAAGACAAGAGCUCCCUCGAGAGACACUAGGCCGGAUGAAUUUCUUCUCUAGGAGUUCCUGUAGUUGAACUUUCAAUUUUCUGAGCUCUGCAGGGGCCAUCCGGUAAGGAGGCUUGGAUAUUGGUCCAACUCCCGGUACGAGAUCAAUCUUGAAAUCAAUCUCCCGAUCAGGAGGCAGCCUGAGUAGGUCACCAGGGAAAACAUCUGAAUAUUCUCCCAUAAUAGGAAUAUCAUCCAACCUUAUUUCUGUUUGAAUAUUUACGACAUAGGCUAGAUAGGCCUAACACCCUUUUCUUAAUGCAUUGCGUGCACAUAGCAGAAAUAAUAUGUAAAAUGGACUUACAUUGCAUGGGUGCAUCGCCUUGAUAGAAAAACUCCAGCUCUCCCGGUAUCUGGAACACUACUCUCUUUCUGAAACAAUCUAUAUGAGCAUGAUACUUGGACAGCCAAUUCAUCCCCAAAAUGAUGUCAAAAUCUUGUAUAUCUAGCUGUAUUAAGUCUGCAACUAACUCCCUUUCUCCUAACUAAAUUUUGCAGUUCUUGAAUAUAAUGUCAGCAACUACCAUUUUCUGAAGGGGUGUAGCAUCAUAUAGUGGCUCUUCUAAUUUCUCAGGUAUGCAGUGUAAAGAUCUAGAGAAUUUGGCAGAUACAAAAUAAUGCAUAGAGCCAGAAUCAAAUAGUAUAGAUGCAUUAACUAGAUUGAUGGGAAUAGUAUCUGUCACCAUACUAUCGCUAGCACUGACAUCCUGUCGAGUCAAUGCGAAGACCCGAGCAGUCCCCUUUUGCCUCUAAUCUCCUGAUCCAGUAGGUCCAGGGUCAUUUCUCUUCUUCUGACAGUCAUGUGCUAUGUGUCCAAGCUAUCCACAAAUGAAACAGGCUCCCAUCUUUUUAAGGCAAGGCCCACCAUGUGACUUGCUGCAGUAGUUGCAAACUCCAAAUUUCUUCUUUUUGGUUGCAUUACCCCCAAAAUUUCUUGGCCUAACAUUCUGACUCUCAGUCACCCUGGGUCUUCAAAUCACCUCUUUCUU
rnacentral:lncRNA from 1 species